rnacentral:rRNA from 1 species
UACGUAGGGCGCAAGCGUUGUCCGGAAUUAUUGGGCGUAAAGAGCUCGUAGGCGGUUUGUCGCGUCUGCUGUGAAAACCUAAGGCUCAACCUUGGGCUUGCAGUGGGUACGGGCAGACUAGAGUGCGGUAGGGGUGACUGGAAUUCCUGGUGUAGCGGUGGAAUGCGCAGAUAUCAGGAAGAACACCCGUGGCUAAGGCGGCUCUCUAGUACGGUACUGACGCUGAGACGCGAAAGCGUGGGGAGCGAACAGG